rnacentral:rRNA from 1 species
UACGUAGGGUGCGAGCGUUAAUCGGAAUUAUUGGGCGUAAAGGGCGCGUAGGCGGCCAUGCGUGUCUUCCGUGAAAUCCCUCGGCUUAACUGAGGACGUGCGGAAGAAACUGCAAGGCUCGAGUCCGGGAGAGGGGGGUGGAAUUCCCAGUGUAGCGGUGAAAUGCGUAGAUAUUGGGAGGAACACCGGUGGCGAAGGCGGCCCCCUGGACCGGUACUGACGCUGAGGCGCGAAAGCGUGGGUAGCAAACGGG